AAUGACUCUACAGUGCAAUCUUCAAUAUCUAAAGCAGACAAGGCAACAAUGGUUUCAUCAGAUUUAAUUUAUAACUCUCCAGAAAAGUGUAGAUUGAGGCAAGAAAUAAAAUAUAUUAAAGAAAAAAAUGCAAAAAAAGUAAAAAAUUUACAACAAAAUCUACGACGUAAAUAUAAUCAAAUCACCAAACUAAAGGAUACAUUAGAAACUCUGAAAAGAAGAUGUUUAAAUGAAAAUGAUUAAAUGAAGAACAAGUUGACAUGUUAUAUACAUUGAGUGAAUCAAAUGACCUCUUUUCCACAUCCUGUGACCAGUGAAAAAAUCGUAGCUUUUCCAGAUCCUUGUUAUAUAUUAAAAUUAAUACGCAAUAGUUUUGGAGAUUUGGAAAAUAUGAUUGAUAAUGACAACUAACAAAUACGAUGGUCAUAUAUAAAUCAGUUACAUCUUUUACAACAAAAUAAAGGUAUGCACUUAGGUAAUAAGUUACGAAGUGCACAUAUUAAUUAUAUGAAAUAAAAAAUAAAAGUUAGAUUAGCGGCUCAAAUUUUUAGUAAAUCGAUAGCAGAUUCAUUUAUAUUUUGUAAAAAUAAUUUAAUGUUGAAAGAGUUUCAACUUUGCAAAGGAACGAUUAAAUUUUUAUUUGUAUUUAAUAAUUUGUUUGAUAUUUUAAAUUCGAAAAAUAUGAAAUAAAUAGAAUUAUAGCAACCAAUACAUCUACAAAACAUAGAAUCAAUAACAAAAAAAUUAGACGAAUAUAAAGCAUAUAUUUUAACAUUGAAAAUGCCUACGGGACAAUUUUUGAUUAAUAGUCGAAGAAAAAUCGCGGUUUUCUUAUUUGUAUCGAAAGUGUUUUAAUACUAUAUGAAGAACUUUGUAAAAAUAAUCUUAUAAAAUACAUAUUAUUUUCAAAUAAA